UACGUAGGGUGCAAGCGUUGUCCGGAAUUAUUGGGCGUAAAGAGCUCGUAGGCGGUUUGUCGCGUCUGCUGUGAAAACCCGAGGCUCAACCUCGGGCCUGCAGUGGGUACGGGCAGACUAGAGUGCGGUAGGGGAGAUUGGAAUUCCUGGUGUAGCGGUGGAAUGCGCAGAUAUCAGGAAGAACACCGAUAGCGAAGGCAGUUCUCUGGGACGGUACUGACGCUGAGACGCGAAAGCGUGGGGAGCGAACAGG
rnacentral:rRNA from 1 species